CAGUUAACCUACUUGGUCCGGUUCCAAAGCAUUUGAGUGCUUUUUAUAUAAACGAGACAGAGAGAUUUGGGCAUUUAUUCAUGGGUAAAUACCACUUAAAUAGAUAAGGACAAAAUAAAGAAACAGUAAUGAAUGAAAUAAGCAGAGAGAAAGAGAGAAAGAGACCAGAUAAGACCUCACACAUGCAAGCUGGAGUAGAAAAUAGAAGACAUCUGCGGGUUUUCUGCCCAUUUAGAUGCUUAUUCAACAGAGAAAGAUGAUUUUACAAGCGAUCCCUUCAGUCUAAGUGUUUUAUUUCAACAUAAUCGGCUGUCAUCCUACUGCAGCUCUGAUGAUCCAUUUACAGUACGGAGUAGCAAGGUUGUCUCCAUAAUAGCAGAAAGUGAUUUAAAACUCAGUGCCUUUUAGGUAAUCAGAGAGUAAAAGAUGUUUAUUUUCUAAGCUGAACAGGUAGAGGGAAGUAUUUAUAUGAUUUAUAACACUUUAGGAGGCUAUUAUGGAGAGUACGUGGUGCAGUUUAUCUUAUGAACAGAGUCGUAAACCCUUUAUUACUCAGAGGGUCCACUCUGCGUCAUGAUUUGGAUUCAUUUGCACAACAUAGUUUUAAGAUGCGUCUCCCUGUAUGGAAGAUAUAACAUGCCUACAUAACAACAAAUCAAACAAAGAAAUAAAGUGAUAUACUUUGUUAUCUAUUUAGCAGGUUUAUGCUGCUCUCUGCUGGACAACAAGGAAAUGCAAUGCACCUCUUCACUUUGUUUUCUUUGUUGUGAUUUGAUUUU